rnacentral:snoRNA from 1 species
UGGGUGUGCUCAGAGCAGGCGGCCUGAAGAAUGGCUUCCCUGUUUACAGCACACCCAACAGGAAUUUAGGGUCACUGUGACAAGGGGCACAAACCUUGUGACUUCCUUGUGAGCAAAGGUCCCACGCAU